rnacentral:rRNA from 1 species
CACGUAGGGCGCAAGCGUUGUCCGGAAUUAUUGGGCGUAAAGAGCUCGUAGGCGGUCUGUUGCGUCCGCUGUGAAAACUCCGGGCUUAACCCGGAGCGGCCAAGUGAUACUGUCGUGCUAGAGUGCGGAAGGGGCUACUGGAAUUCUCGGUGUAGCGGUGAAAUGCGUAGAUAUCGAGAGGAACACCUGCGGCGAAGGCGGGUAGCUGGGCCGACACUGACGCUGAGGCGCGAAAGCCAGGGGAGCGAACGGG